rnacentral:rRNA from 1 species
UACGUAGGGUGCAGGCGUUAAUCGGAAUUACUGGGCGUAAAGCGUGCGCAGGCGGUUUGCUAAGACAGGUGUGAAAUCCCCCGGGCUUAACCUGGGAACUGCGUUUGAAACUACAAGGCUAGAGUGUGGCAGAGGGGGGUGGAAUUCCACGUGUAGCAGUGAAAUGCGUAGAGAUGUGGAGGAACACCGAUGGCGAAGGCAGCCCCCUGGGUUAACACUGACGCUCAGGCACGAAAGCGUGGGGAGCAAACAGG